rnacentral:rRNA from 1 species
GGAAUAUUGGACAAUGGGCGAAAGCCUGAUCCAGCAAUGCCGCGUGAGUGAUGAAGGCCUUAGGGUUGUAAAGCUCUUUUACCCGGGAUGAUAAUGACAGUACCGGGAGAAUAAGCUCCGGCUAACUCCGUGCCAGCAGCCGCGGUAAUACGGGGGGAGCAAGCGUUGUUCGGAUUUACUGGGCGUAAAGGGCGCGUAGGCGGCCACCGCAAGUCAGUUGUGAAAUCUCUGGGCUUAACUCAGAAAGGUCAACUGAUACUGCGGGGCUAGAGUGCAGAAGGGGCAACUGGAAUUCUCGGUGUAGCGGUGAAAUGCGUAGAUAUCGAGAGGAACACCUGCGGCGAAGGCGGGUUGCUGGGCUGACACUGACGCUGAGGCGCGAAAGCUAGGGGAGCGAA